AUCGUGAAACACAUGGCAACAGAGGGGCAGUUUGACAAGAUGGCAUUUCCAUGGAAAUAAACAGGAGGCAUUACUUUCAAGCAACCUAAACAAUUGCAACAUCCCCCUCAGCCCCAGAAGAAGUGUGAGCUUCAAUCCCCCGAUUCUGAAUAGUCAUGUUUUGAAGUGCACUGGUGAACUUACAGAUGAAGAUAACUCUUCGCAUAGGACCAGCUAAAAAACACUGUAUAUGCUUCCUUUCCCAGACCUUCAAAGAGACAUGGGUUGGGAUUCAAAAAGCAAAGGUAGCCUCAAGACAAAGAGAAACACAACUGUUACACUUCAAGUGACCUGACAUACUGAAAGCACUUCUUCCUAUAUUUUUUUUUCUAGCAGGGUCUUUUCCUCUUUAAUUUGGCUUUCAUUGUAAUUUAACUGUUAGAAAUAAGUUUCUUCCAUCAGACACAACAAAAAUUUGCUGUGGUUAUGCUCCUAAGCCUACAUAUUUUGCUUAUUAAAAAUAGGAUUAAGGAUGAAAGAGAGACAAAGACUCUUUUUGUUUUUUGUUUUGUAUGUAUACCUAAUCCUACGUGCCCUCCAUCUGGGCUAUGCAACACAGCAGACUCUCUGACAGCAGAGAACUAUACUCUUUACAAGAAGCAUCAAGUGCUCUGAAAUUCUCUAGCAGCCUUAAUACACUGAGUUAGAAACAGUAUCUGCUGUACUGUUCAGUCUCUACAGUGUUUCACCUGGUAUCCUUUACUUCUCUAUUUACCUCUUCAGAAGUAUCUAUCCAUCCCUGCUCACUUUUCUAACAAUCUGUAUAUAGAAAACUGUUUCAGACCAGCAUUUCCAGAAACGCAGGGAACAUUCUGUGCAAUACAGAUGCCGCAAACUGCCAGGUAGGGCUGGAACCAUCACAAGAGCUGCAGUGAGAUGAUUUUGGCUAGAUGAAGAGCAACAGGCUGCUUGGACAGAACAGAGAUACUGAUACAAGACAUAUAGACUGAAGCCUUCAGUAGCAUCCUGGAGCUGGGGUGCUGCACACCUCCUAUAACACCCAGCCUUUUCACCUUGCUCUGGACACCUUCCCAUCUUCAUCCAGCACUUCAAGUCCCCUGAAAUCCAACUUUUUUUCCCCAUAAUACUAUUUGCACAGCUCAAAGGGCAAAAGCCUUUGGGGCAAAAUAUAUUCAUAGAAAAGCAUGCAGGGAAGGGGAAGGAAGUUAGAGAGCUGCUGUUAUCUACUCCUGCCUAGAACAGCAGGUUUAGAUCUUCUGAAGCUUCAAGACACAAGUUGUGUCACAAACCUACAGCAGUUAAAUAUGUAUUAAAUGGACAAGCUUCCUUUCUUUUAAGUUCUUCUAACCACUUAAAAUAUUUAGAGCUUAAUGAAAGAUGUUUUUCUUAAGAAAAAUGAACCCAUUUUUUGUUAAAAGAAAUAUAAUAGAGACUACUGUACAGGCAGGGUUCCAAGCGUUCGCUGGCAUUUGGAACACAUUGUCCAAACCUGCUUAAAGCAGGUCUAUACAACUAGGCUCCAACAGCUGCUACCUACCAGCAUCCUGCACUUCCAACACCGUGUGUAAAUGGAGCUUCUGCAGAAACUGUUCCAGAGGAAGAGCAGGAGGGAGCAGGGAAAGGGAGGGAAAAGAAGGGAGAUAUCUCCCUCCCAAAUACUAGGAAAGCAAAAUCUUAACACAGAAAAGGUUUUAUCUAUGGUUAUUUUAUUUACAUUGUUCUCAAUCACUCAUUUUGUCUGCACUCAUUUUAAUAAAUUACACUGUUUCUGAAGUCCCUGGACAAAGGUUUAGAGUGGACAAAAUAUUUAUCAUUUAGUUUAAUAUUGUCCUGGGGCCCAAUCAGGAAAAACAGAAUAAAUGUGAGCUAUAGACGUACAUAAAGGUUUUCCCAAAAGGAUGAAAAAAGUGCUACAGAAAGCAACCCCUGGGGUUAUUCAAAAUAAGAGGUGAUUAACAGCUGCAGUAUUCUGAAACAUACAGAGUAAACAGAAACAAAACAAUAUGAGAAUGUCAUGUACACUUUUACUCACAUUAUGAUACAGACAUCAAACACAAACAGAAAAGUAUGUUAAAAAGCAUAAAAGCAGCUGCUAGCUUGCUUAAGUUGACAAGAAGCCCCCAUCAAUUAUGGUUGUUGGGUUUUUUUAAGGAAUUGUUUUAAAAAAUGGAUUUUAACAUGAAAUUUGAAAUUUGCUUUUAAAUGUUAUAAAACAGGAGAAGAAAUAUUAGUCAUCUAUAACUUCAGUGCUGCGGAGGGGAGUUGUUUUGAGUAAACUAUGCUCUCAAUAUAAAUCUCAGUGUUCAACUUCUGCAGUAAAAGUGUAGGUAAGCUGUGCUUGCUAUUUCCUUAAGCUAACACACAGAAUUAUUACCUAUAAUAAAAGUUUUCAGUACAAGUGCUCAGCAAUAGGAAAAGAGUUGUGCAGAGGCUUUUCUUUUUUUAGACACUACUUUCCUCUGCAGAUUCUCAUCCAUAGACUUCUGAAGCUGCAGUAACACAAUCUAACCCUAGAUGACACACAACUUGUCUGUUUGUUUUUCUAGUACACCAGCACAAAUUGCCUCCCCCUGUUAUUAACAGGGUUUGCUUAUUAUUUCCUGUUGGAUGGGGCGGGGAGUUGUUGGUGUGUAUUUUUUUUUUUUUUUAAUUAAAAAAAUGCUGACAUAAAAUUUUGGAAUAUUUUCUGAGAUGUACCAUUGGACAACAGUACUACAACUACAAACCACUUGGGAAAUGAAAGUGAUCCAAAAGAUUAAACAUUUCAAAAGAGUGCAAUACUCGGAAUCUGAAACUUUUAGUGCAGAAUUACCUACAGGAAAUGAAGAGUCAGAAUUAUUAACCCACAUAAUCACCACGUUAAAAGGAAAAAUUAUAGCAUAAGGAAACUUAUUUGGCAGAUAAUAAAACAGCUGUUGGUGUAGUCCAGUUACUAAGUAUCUUUACAACUGAGUUUGCUGCCUGUUUUAAUCCUUUACUUGAUGCCAAAGCAGCAAACCAACACAAGAGGAAAUGAAAUGCCCUAAACACAAACUGUUUUUCCAGGACAACAUUAGAAGAAAAUUAAAAUGUUUUUAUUAAAACACAUUCAAAACAAUUUAAACCAAAGUAAUAAACUGUAUUCAAAUGUGUCAGAGUGUGCUUAUUGCAUAUACUUAAUACUAAGUAUAUGUAAAAAUACUGAGGUUUAACACAGCAAAACAACUCCAGCAACUGCACUGUAUUUUAGCCACAAGGCAGUAACUUUACUUGAAGUAACGUAAAAAUUGUGUUAAAAAGCUGUUACUUUUUGUAUAGAUUAAGAAGAAUCACUGAAUGUUCUUUAGGAACAAUCCUAGUUCGUAUAAAAUUGUUCAAAGCCAAAUACUAACUCAAAGAGCACAGACAUACCCACUUCAGAAGCCUCAAGUGAAAUGAAUCAUCAGUACUAAAGAGCAAACCUUUU